UACCCGCGGCCCGAGUGGUGCUCAUUAUUAUUGAGCCUAAAGCGUCCGUAGCUGGCCGGGCAAAUCUCCGGGUAAAUCGGGCCGCUCAACGGUCCGAAUUCCGGAGACACUGCUCGGCUUGGGAUCGGGAGAGGGUGAAGGUACUCCCGGGGUAGGGGUAAAAUCCUGUAAUCCUGGGGGGACCACCAGUGGCGAAGGCGUUCACCUAGAACGAAUCCGACAGUGAGGGACGAAGCCCUAGGGCGCAAACGGGAUUAGAUACCCCGGUAGUCUAGGGUGUAAACGCUGCAGACUUGGUGUUGGGGGUCCUGCGUGGGCUCCCAGUGCCGGAGCGAAGGUGUUGAGUCUGCCGCUUGGGGAGUACGGUCGCAAGACUGAAACUUAAAGGAAUUGGCGGGAGAGCACCGCAACGGGAGGAGCGUGCGGUUCAAUUGGAUUCAACGCCGGAAAACUCACCGGAGGCGACGGAGGGAUGAAAGCCAGGCUGAAGACCUUGCCCGAUUCUCCGAGAGGUGGUGCAUGGCCGUCGUCAGUUCGUACCGUAAGGCGUUCUGUUAAGUCAGAUAACGAACGAGACCCUCGCCGUUAGUCGCGAUCUUACAAGCGAUUGUAGGAGCACACUAGCGGGAUCGCUGCCGUUAAGGCAGAGGAAGGAGAGGUCUACGGUAGGUCCGUAUGCCCCGAAUCUUCCGGGCAGCACGCGCGCUACAAAGGUGGGGACAAUGGGACCCGACCUCGAAAGGGGGAGGCAAUCCUGAAACCCCAUCGUAGUCUGGAUCGAGGGCUGUAACUCGCCCUCGUGAAAAUGGAUUCCGUAGUAAUCGCGGGUCAACAUCCCGCGGUGAAUGUGCCCCUGCUCUU
rnacentral:rRNA from 1 species